CUUCUUUCUUCUUCUCCUUCCUCU
rnacentral:sRNA from 1 species